AACCCUGUCCUGUGUGUUCAGUGUCUGUGGUGUUUGUGCUGGUCUGGGGUUUCCAGCUGAUGGUUCUGUUGGGUCUGUUAGGAGGUUUUCACAUCUACAUGAGACACACGUCAGGAAAGAAAGAGGAC